UACUCUUCGAACGGCCUGUUUUUCGAAGUCUACUGUGAACGGUGCGGACUGCGUACAAUUGCAGGAAGGAACCUGUUGAGGAGAGUGCUCUUACGCCCACCGCGUAGGACGAAAUCGCAACUCUGCAAUACGAGUUACGCGGAGAAAAAGAUUGUAACGUGUGCGGAUGCUCAAACUGCUCGAAUUUCACGUACAGAAAAUGCUAACAUAACUAAAUCGAUUCUACGAUGCAACGACCGACGUUUUCCGGGUCAGCCUGCCCGACUACCUGUUAGAAAAAGCCGUGCCGCCGCGGUACACACGGCCCUGAAUCGUUGCGCAUGGCACGCAUGUUGCCGGUUGCACACGCCGCGCGUUAUGCUUGUCAAGCCACUCGGAACCAAGCCCGGCCGCGGUGGGGAACGAUCGAUAAAUUCCAAGUCCCGACGUCGUCCCGGCAAGUGACUACUCCGCUGCAUUAUCUGAGAGGUCGAGCCGCGCCGUACGCCAGAAUCAACCGAAGAUGCCGGGACCAGGAUGCGACAAGUGCAAGGAUAAAUGCCAGGACUGCAAGUGCGGCGACAACUGCUCGUGUUGCUGCGAUUCCGGAUGCAAAGAUCAAUGCAGCUGCAAAUCGGGCGGAAAGUGCUCGUGCAAGCAAGGCACUUGCAAUUGUUAAUUAAUUAUCAUAACAUUAAUUAAUAAUCCAUAUUGAAAGUGAUAAUGUAAUGUGAUGAAGACAUUCAACAUGUAGACAUAAUUUGGAGUAUCUUAUAUUAUCAUUGUUGAAAUGAAGUUUUUCGCUUCAUGAGAAUUUUGCAAUAAAAUGCAAGCUUUUUUGUUAAAUGCACAGCUAAUGAGAUAAUAAAAUUCGUAGACUUUA